rnacentral:rRNA from 1 species
GUUUGAUCCUGGCUCAGAACGAACGCUGGAGGCGUGGCUAAGACAUGCAAGUCGAACGGUACGUUUGUUUUCGGAUAGACGUAUAGUGGCGAACGGGUGAGUAAUAAAUAGGUAACGUGCCUCGAUCACAGGGAUACCGGCGGAGCUUGCUCCUUUGCGAAAGUGCCGUUAAUACCUGAUGACGUCAUUCAUUGGCAUCUACGAAUGAUCAAAGGUGGGGACCUUCGGGCCUACCGGAUUGAGAUCGGCCUAUUUCCUAUCAGCUUGUUGGUGAGGUAACGGCUCACCAAGGCGGCGACGGGUAGCCGGACUGAGAGGUUGGACGGCCACAUCGGAACUGAGACACUGUCCGGACACCUACGGGUGGCUGCAGUAACGAAUAUUCCGCAAUGGGCGAAAGCCUGACGGAGCGACGCCUCGUGAAGGACGAAUUCCCUCGGGAUGUAAACUUCUUUUAGGGUUAGGCAAGCAAAACCGGUUAAUACCCGGUAAGUUGAGCCAUCCCAGAAAAAGCCUCGGCUAACUCCGUGCCAGCAGCCG